rnacentral:rRNA from 1 species
GACGUAGGGCGCGAGCGUUGUCCGGAUUUAUUGGGCGUAAAGAGCUCGUAGGCGGCUUGUCGCGUCGUCCGUGAAAACCUGCAGCUCAACUGCAGGCUUGCGGUCGAUACGGGCAGGCUCGAGUUCGGUAGGGGAGACUGGAAUUCCUGGUGUAGCGGUGAAAUGCGCAGAUAUCAGGAGGAACACCGGUGGCGAAGGCGGGUCUCUGGACAGUUCCUGACACUGAGACACGAAGGCCAGGGGAGCAAACGGG